rnacentral:rRNA from 1 species
UUAAGCGACUAAGCGUACACGGUGGAUGCCCUGGCAGUCAGAGGCGAUGAAGGACGUGCUAAUCUGCGAAAAGCGUCGGUAAGGUGAUAUGAACCGUUAUAGCCGGCGAUGUCCGAAUGGGGAAACCCAGUGCAAUUCGUUGCACUAUCGUUAACUGAAUACAUAGGUUAACGAGGCGAACCGGGGGAACUGAAACAUCUAAGUACCCCGAGGAAAAGAAAUCAACCGAGAUUCCCCCAGUAGCGGCGAGCGAACGGGGAGCAGCCCAGAGUCUGAAUCAGCUUGUGUGUUAGUGGAACGGUCUGGAAAGUCCGACGGUACAGGGUGAUAGUCCCGUACACCAAAAUGCACAGGUUGUGAACUCGAAGAGUAGGGCGGGACACGUGGUAUCCUGUCUGAAUAUGGGGGGACCAUCCUCCAAGGCUAAAUACUCCUGACUGACCGAUAGUGAACCAGUACCGUGAGGGAAAGGCGAAAAGAACCCCGGCGAGGGGAGUGAAAAAGAACCUGAAACCGUGUACGUACAAGCAGUGGGAGCACCUUCGGGUGUGACUGCGUACCUUUUGUAUAAUGGGUCAGCGACUUAUAUUCUGUAGCAAGGUUAACCGUAUAGGGGAGCCGCAGGGAAACCGAGUCUUAACUGGGCGUUAAGUUGCAGGGUAUAGACCCGAAACCCGGUGAUCUAGCCAUGGGCAGGUUGAAGGUUGGGUAACACUAACUGGAGGACCGAACCGACUAAUGUUGAAAAAUUAGCGGAUGACUUGUGGCUGGGGGUGAAAGGCCAAUCAAACCGGGAGAUAGCUGGUUCUCCCCGAAAGCUAUUUAGGUAGCGCCUCGUGAAUUCAUCUUCGGGGGUAGAGCACUGUUUCGGCUAGGGGGUCAUCCCGACUUACCAACCCGAUGCAAACUACGAAUACCGAAGAAUGUUAUCACGGGAGACACACGGCGGGUGCUAACGUCCGUCGUGAAGAGGGAAACAACCCAGACCGCCAGCUAAGGUCCCAAAGUCAUGGUUAAGUGGGAAACGAUGUGGGAAGGCACAGACAGCCAGGAUGUUGGCUUAGAAGCAGCCAUCAUUUAAAGAAAGCGUAAUAGCUCACUGGUCGAGUCGGCCUGCGCGGAAGAUGUAACGGGGCUAAACCAUGCACCGAAGCUGCGGCAGCGACACUAUGUGUUGUUGGGUAGGGGAGCGUUCUGUAAGCCUGCGAAGGUGUGCUGUGAGGCAUGCUGGAGGUAUCAGAAGUGCGAAUGCUGACAUAAGUAACGAUAAAGCGGGUGAAAAGCCCGCUCGCCGGAAGACCAAGGGUUCCUGUCCAACGUUAAUCGGGGCAGGGUGAGUCGACCCCUAAGGCGAGGCCGAAAGGCGUAGUCGAUGGGAAACAGGUUAAUAUUCCUGUACUUGGUGUUACUGCGAAGGGGGGACGGAGAAGGCUAUGUUAGCCGGGCGACGGUUGUCCCGGUUUAAGCAUGUAGGCUGGUUAUCCAGGCAAAUCCGGAUAAUCAAGGCUGAGGUGUGAUGACGAGGCACUACGGUGCUGAAGUAACAAAUGCCCUGCUUCCAGGAAAAGCCUCUAAGCAUCAGGUAACAUCAAAUCGUACCCCAAACCGACACAGGUGGUCAGGUAGAGAAUACCAAGGCGCUUGAGAGAACUCGGGUGAAGGAACUAGGCAAAAUGGUGCCGUAACUUCGGGAGAAGGCACGCUGGUGUGUAGGUGAAGCCCCUGCGGGUGGAGCUGAGACCAGUCGAAGAUACCAGCUGGCUGCAACUGUUUAUUAAAAACACAGCACUGUGCAAACACGAAAGUGGACGUAUACGGUGUGACGCCUGCCCGGUGCCGGAAGGUUAAUUGAUGGGGUUAUCCGUAAGGAGAAGCUCUUGAUCGAAGCCCCGGUAAACGGCGGCCGUAACUAUAACGGUCCUAAGGUAGCGAAAUUCCUUGUCGGGUAAGUUCCGACCUGCACGAAUGGCGUAAUGAUGGCCAGGCUGUCUCCACCCGAGACUCAGUGAAAUUGAACUCGCUGUGAAGAUGCAGUGUACCCGCGGCAAGACGGAAAGACCCCGUGAACCUUUACUAUAGCUUGACACUGAACAUUGAGCCUUGAUGUGUAGGAUAGGUGGGAGGCUUUGAAGCGUGGACGCCAGUCUGCGUGGAGCCAACCUUGAAAUACCACCCUUUAAUGUUUGAUGUUCUAACGUUGGCCCCUGACCGGGGUUGCGGACAGUGUCUGGUGGGUAGUUUGACUGGGGCGGUCUCCUCCCAAAGCGUAACGGAGGAGCACGAAGGUUAGCUAAUCCUGGUCGGACAUCAGGAGGUUAGUGCAAUGGCAUAAGCUAGCUUGACUGCGAGCGUGACGGCGCGAGCAGGUGCGAAAGCAGGUCAUAGUGAUCCGGUGGUUCUGAAUGGAAGGGCCAUCGCUCAACGGAUAAAAGGUACUCCGGGGAUAACAGGCUGAUACCGCCCAAGAGUUCAUAUCGACGGCGGUGUUUGGCACCUCGAUGUCGGCUCAUCACAUCCUGGGGCUGAAGUAGGUCCCAAGGGUAUGGCUGUUCGCCAUUUAAAGUGGUACGCGAGCUGGGUUUAGAACGUCGUGAGACAGUUCGGUCCCUAUCUGCCGUGGGCGCUGGAGAAUUGAGGGGGGCUGCUCCUAGUACGAGAGGACCGGAGUGGACGCAUCACUGGUGUUCGGGUUGUCAUGCCAAUGGCACUGCCCGGUAGCUAAAUGCGGAAGAGAUAAGUGCUGAAAGCAUCUAAGCACGAAACUUGCCCCGAGAUGAGUUCUCCCUGAGACUUUAAGUCUCCUGAAGGAACGUUGAAGACGACGACGUUGAUAGGCCGGGUGUGUAAGCGCAGCGAUGCGUUGAGCUAACCGGUACUAAUGAACCGUGAGGCUUAACCUU